ensembl:miRNA MIR187 microRNA mir-187
UGAGACCUCGGGCUACAACACGGGACUCGGGCGCUGCUCUGACCCCUCGUGUCUUGUGUUGCAGCCGGAGGGACGCAG